rnacentral:rRNA from 1 species
AUUGAACGCUGGCGGCAUGCCUUACACAUGCAAGUCGAACGGCAGCACGGGUGCUUGCACCUGGUGGCGAGUGGCGAACGGGUGAGUAAUACAUCGGAACAUGUCCUGUAGUGGGGGAUAGCCCGGCGAAAGCCGGAUUAAUACCGCAUACGAUCUACGGAUGAAAGGGGGGGACCUUCGGGCCUCGCGCUAUAGGGUUGGGCGAUGGCUGAUUAGCUAGUUGGUGGGGUAAAGGCCUACCAAGGCGACGAUCAGUAGCUGGUCUGAGAGGACGACCAGCCACACUGGGACUGAGACACGGCCCAGACUCCUACGGGAGGCAGCAGUGGGGAAUUUUGGACAAUGGGCGAAAGCCUGAUCCAGCAAUGCCGCGUGUGUGAAGAAGGCCUUCGGGUUGUAAAGCACUUUUGUCCGGAAAGAAAUCCUUGGCCCUAAUACGGUCGGGGGAUGACGGUACCGGAAGAAUAAGCACCGGCUAACUACGUG